UACGUGAGUGGCGAGCGUUAUUCGGAAUUACUGGGCGUAAAGGGUCCGCAGGGGGCUUGGUAAGUGCACUGUUAAAUCUGUCGGCUCAACCGAUAGGCCGCAGUGCAUACUGCUAAGCUUGAGGUAUGCAGAGGUGAGUGGAAUUCCCGGAGUAGGGGUAAUAUCCGUAGAUACCGGGAGGAACACCAAUAGCGAAGGCAGCUCACUGGGCAUUACCUGACCCUCAGGGACGAAAGCGUGGGGAGCGAACCGG
rnacentral:rRNA from 1 species